GAUGAACGCUGGCGGCGUGCCUAAUACAUGCAAGUCGAGCGAACGGACGAGAAGCUUGCUUCUCUGAUGUUAGCGGCGGACGGGUGAGUAACACGUGGAUAACAUACCUAUAAGACUGGGAUAACUUCGGGAAACCGGAGCUAAUACCGGAUGAUAUUUUGAACCGCAUGGUUCAAAAGUGAAAGACGGUCUUGCUGUCACUUAUAGAUGGAUCCGCGCUGCAUUAGCUAGUUGGUAAGGUAACGGCUUACCAAGGCAACGAUGCAUAGCCGACCUGAGAGGGUGAUCGGCCACACGGGAACUGAGACACGGUCCCGACUCCUACGGGAGGCAGCAGCAGGGAAUCUUCCGCAAUGGGCGAAAGCGUGACGGAGCAACGCCGCGUGAGUGAUGAAGGUCUUCGGAUCGUAAAACUCUGUUAUUAGGGAAGAACAUAUGUGUAAGUAACUGUGCACAUAUUGACGGUACCUAAUCAGAAAGCCACGGCUAACUACGUG
rnacentral:rRNA from 1 species